CUCAUUUGCUGGCACGCUUCGGCCCCCACAGCGAAACCUAGCUCUCUUUCCCCUCGACCCCCACAGCGCAGUGCAUCACCACUCCUUCCUCCCUCAUCAGCCGCCGCCGGGUCUUCUUGCUGGGGUGGAAGAGUAGGGGAUCCGGCCGAAUCGGAGGCGUGCGGGCCUGGUGGCGGGCAUCUUUGGCAGGGGCGGCGGCGGGCCUGGUGGCGGGCAUCUUUGGCAGCGGCGGCGGCGGGCAUCUCCGGCAAAAGGCGAUGGCGGGGAUGCUCGAUUCGCCAUGGACCGGUCCCUACAGGAGAGAGAAAGAAAGAGAGGAGGGAGAAAGCGAGAGGAAAGAGGAGAGGGAGGUGCGACGGCGGGCGGGAGAGGGUCUCCGGCCGGUGCGAGACAUUCACGUCUCUCCUCCUCUCCUGCUCUCGACCACCACCGUGGCCCUCCUUCUCCCCUUCAAUUCCCUGUCUCCUCUUCUCUAGAGUUACCUGAGUGGUCAACACCGAGAAAGAUGGGGAAGACAGAGCCAGCGAGGAAGACGGCUUGACUCUGCCACCGAUGCUGACCGGCCAAUUCCGUCGGGCGUUGUCAUGGGAGGAGGCGAACCAUCGAGGAGCAGCACGGGAGGAGAUAAGAUAAGCCGCCGGAAUCCCUGUUCACUUCUGGUUGCAUCUUGCCCGUGAGCUCCUUCUUCUUACAGCCAGCUUGGCCCUUUUCUUGCCAUGUUUUGGGUGAUGCAGGGUAUCAAGCAGGCGAUGGCGAGGAUCAGAUGCGGUAGCAGCUGAAGGAGUCAUGGAGAGGGGGCGAGAGUGAGCAGCGGCUGCCGGCCAAGAAGGAAGAGGCUGGGGCGAGGACCGGAGGAGGAGGUGCUCAUGGUGGAGCAUAGGAGGACGGAGGCGGAGUGCUGCUGCAACGGCUGUGGGACUGGGCGAAAGGUGUAGAGGGCCACAAUGAGGCAGACGACAGUGGAUGGCAACAAUAGGUGUUGGCGGAUGCUCCGAGACCAUGAAGAGCCUAUUCAAUGGUAUGAGAAGGAUGACAUGGAGAUGGAGGAUUCCGACAUGGCACCUCCGUAAUCGCGCAGUUGGAGAGCAUGCAUGAGACCACUACUUCUUGCCUUCCAGUAAUUUUAAUAUUAUAGGAAUGGAGAAGUAGAAGUUGAGGGGAAGCUACUGCAUGCUGGAAAAUCAGUUGGUGUUGUCUAUGUUGGUUUCAGGAAGAAAAGUACUAUCAAAUUGAUGGCUCAGGCACGUCAUACAAAGUACCUUGCUGUAUCUAGCAGAUUGCGAGGAUUCCCUUCUGUUGUAAGAUAAAAACCUGGUUAUAUGUUGCAUCCCAAAAUCAAGAUGCUGAUUCGAGAAGAGAAUGCUUUCAAAGAUGUGAGAGUGCAACUUCAUAUAAUUUGAAGUUAAUUGUACAUGUACUUAAAUGGAAGCAUCUAUUGGCCCCUCGAACACUUGACAUAGGCACAUUCAAAAUAGAUUAUCUCUUAUGACUCAUGAUCAGUCACCUCUUGGAAAGCUGAGGCACCAUUUCUAAAUUGUUUAGCAUCCACGAAUUUGGCGAUCGUGAUCUUUCUUGCCUAGGUGACCUGCUCCCAGUCAUUCUUCCCUCCCCUAUGAUCUCUCUCUAUGAAGUUUCAAAUUUGUUUUGGUCAAAUUUGAUAUGAAUCUUUGGUAAAACAAUCAACAGAAAUCUGACAAUAUUGCUGACAAGAACGAACAAAUUUCAUUUUCCUGCUGCUCGAUUUUGGUGUUCCUCUGGAUAGCCUGCUUUCCUGGCUUGUUUCCGCUUCUUAGCUCUGGUAAUGCACUGUUACUUUGCUUCUUUGUUUGCUUCUCAGAUGAGCAGACCAAUGUGCCGGUAAGAAAGAAAAUAAGCAGUUUGAUGUAGUUAAAAAGGACGGUACUGAAUAGCCAUGUUUCUGUACAAAUAGGCAGGUUGAUGUAGUAAAAAAGAAUGGUACUAAAGAGCCAUGUUUCUGUGCAAGCUGGAUUAGAAAUGCGGCUGCUCUGCUGUCCUAUAACUAAAGAUCUUUUGCAUGGACUUUCCGUUGGACCACAGCAGGGCCUGUUAAUUGCAUCCUUUUAUAUGAUUCAUGUUUUCUGCACAUUGUAAUGGAUUGAUGAAAGGAUCCGAUCUAGUGUGCAUUGUUAUUCUUCUGUUCUAACACUUCUGCCUAAAUUUGUUUGGCAGGUUGGACGAUUUGCUGUGUUCCUGCAUUUCUUUGCUGCUGCUCAAGAUGUGAUUGUAAAUGGCAUUAAGAAUGAAUAGAUCCGACUCGAGGAUGGCAUGGUUGAUGUAUGCAACCAUGGGAGUGUAAGCUUAGUCUGGUCGCCAUCACCAGAGUGAUGUGAAACAAGGUUUUCAGGGAACUAUUUUGAAAGACAUGUGUUUACAGAACACAUGUUUCAUCGUCUUCUCUUUUUCAUGAGUUAUUGAACAGAUCUUAUGAAGCUUGAUUGAUAGUGUUUCAACUCAGAUGAAGUGGUCUGGACGAUCAGGUUUUGCAGAUCCUGGAGAUCGUUAUACCUUUUGUACAAUGCACUGUUCUGGAUUCAAAUUGACUGUGAGUGUUGCAUGCCUUUGUAUUGUGUUGCUGAACCUCACUAAGUUUCUCAAUGUCCAAGUCUUUUGUUCUUAGAAAAACUAUUUUGUUGCAUCCACAUUAACCAUAUGUAUUUACAUUUUCACUUUUGAAUUGUAAAAUAAAGCCCUUAUUGGUAAA